CAUACUGUUUGGCUGUAUAGCCUAUUAUAUUUUAGUUAUAACCUUAGCGUUAAAGAACAGAAAGCGCACGUGGUUGAAUAUAUCAGUUUUAUAUUAUAAAUUUGUAAACUAAUAUGACGUGAAACGAUUAUCUACAUAAAAAUGAUAGGAAUGGUAAAUUAAUUGAAUUUUGAUAAUUUGUAUUAAUCUAUAAUAUAUAUAAAAAUUUAUUUACUAGAAGAAAUUACAAUAAAAAAUCUGUACAAUGAUGGUGUAGGAACAGUUGAUUGAUCAGUGAUUAUCCAUGUAAUAAUGUAUGUCUAUUUAAUUGACUGACAUUCCUGAACGUUUUUGGACACAUUUUACAAGUAAAUGGUUUUUCGCCAGUGUGACUACGCAUUUCGAACAAAAAAGUUAUCAACAUUCAAAACAUCGAAUCCCUACAGUCCCUGUUUGUUACCCAAUGAUCAAAAAGAAAUUGCGAGAUCAAGGUUUUUCUAUAGAAGUGGUUGGCACGUUCAAAUCACAUGUUUUCGAGGGAAAAAUGCUUGGAUAAUUAGUUCAAUCGCAUGCAAAUGUGUAUUGAUAUUAAUGGAGGAAUAUUUUGAAAAACAAUAAAGAAAUAUCCAAUUAUAAA